rnacentral:lncRNA from 1 species
CUUUGUAAACAUCUCAGGACUCACCCUCCUGACUUCCCCUCGGCACCAUCUUUAACUGGCUCAUGUGCCCUUCAAAGGAGUUUACUAGAGUUACUUUUAAGAGCAUGGAUGACUCAAAGAUGGAGGCAACAAGAGCAGGGGAGGAAGUACAGUCAUCCCUCUGUAUCCAUGGAGAAUUGGUUGUAGUUCCCUAAGGAUACCAAUCCGAAGAUGUUCUCAUUCUUUAUAUAGAGUAGCAUAGAUCACCUUG